rnacentral:sRNA from 1 species
AUGAGUUUCAAAUCGUUUGAUUUUGUUUCUACAAAAACCUUGUUUGUUUCUGUUGUGUGUUUUGAGUUCCUAAAUAAUGCAAAAGAGAGAGACAGAGAGAACCAGUGUGG